GUCCACGGCCAUGCUACCCUGAACAAGUCCGAUCCCAUCUGAUCUUGGAAGCUAAGCAGGGUCGGGCCUGGUUAGUACUUGGAUGGGAGACCACCUAGGAAGACCGGGUGCUGUAGGCA
rnacentral:rRNA from 1 species